rnacentral:rRNA from 1 species
AUUGAACGCUGGCGGCAGGCCUAACACAUGCAAGUCGAGCGGAUGAAGGGAGCUGGCUCCUGGAUUCAGCGGCGGACGGGUGAGUAAUGCCUAGGAAUCUGCCUGGUAGUGGGGGAUAACGUCCGGAAACGGGCGCUAAUACCGCAUACGUCCUGAGGGAGAAAGUGGGGGAUCUUCGGACCUCACGCUAUCAGAUGAGCCUAGGUCGGAUUAGCUAGUGGGUGGGGUAAAGGCCUACCAAGGCGACGAUCCGUAACUGGUCUGAGAGGAUGAUCAGUCACACUGGAACUGAGACACGGUCCAGACUCCUACGGGAGGCAGCAGUGGGGAAUAUUGGACAAUGGGCGAAAGCCUGAUCCAGCCAUGCCGCGUGUGUGAAGAAGGUCUUCGGAUUGUAAAGCACUUUAAGUUGGGAGGAAGGGCAGUAAGUUAAUACCUUGCUGUUUUGACGUUACCAACAGAAUAAGCACCGGCUAACUUCGUG